UUUUAGGGCUGCACCCGUGGCAUAUGGAGGUUCCCAGGCUAGGGCUCUAAUCAGAGCUGCGGCUGCCGGCCUACACCACAGCCACAGCAACACGGGAUCCGAACCGCAUCUGCGACCUACACCACAGCUCACAGCAAUGCUUUAUCCUUAACCCAGUGAGAAAGGCCAAGGAUCGAACCUGCGUCCUCAUGAAUACUAGCGGGGUUUAAGCUGUUACAGUCAAGAGGAAGUCAAAACCCUGGCUGGCUCUGCCCAUAGGCUCCUAGGGACCUUGACCUUUUGACCUGGGGCAGGGGGUCAGUAUAGAAUCUAUGGAGUCACGAACAGGUCGUGGGAGGUGGGGUAGUAUGUUUCCCCCGACAAAUGCAGGGAGCAUGGCCCUGCCGGGCCCCAGCCCCUGAAGUCAGGCCUGGGGACAUCUCCCAGUGACCUGGCUUGUGCAAAAGCAGAGGCUUUUGGCUGGGCUGUCUGAGUUUGUUCUGCCACAGGUCAACAGCACCGCAUGAUAGGAGAAGAAGGGCCCGCAAAAUCCUGGGCCCUUUCCUGAACUAGACAUUUAUUUUAAAUUCACUUCGCAGACCUCGCCCCAACCCACCAUUUGAAACGAAGAGUCGUUUCUUCUCUUUCUGCAGGUGUGUAUGUCACGGCUGUUUUAUGCUACAAAAUCCAUGUUUCUCUUUAAUUCAGUUUUGUGGUGAUAAACCACUUACCUUGAGGAUUUCAAAAUCAAUCGCGGUCCCUUUGUCGCCCUAACGAGCCAUCCGAAGCAGGUGUUUAUGACCCGGGCACCUGCAUUUGGCUUGAUUUUCUUCCUGACAUCAUAACCGGGUCAGCAUCAACAGCGCAGGAGGCCCCACCUCGGAAAGCUCAUUAAGUUCCUCAGGACAGCAAAGAGCAGGGAAACAGGUCCAGGUUCCUAGGUGCAGCUGAUGACGUCUGGAAGUGACAGGAAGUGAGGAGAGGGGGCUGGGCAGUGCCCGGAAGGCCUUUCCCGCCAGAGCACCUUCGUGUUUAUUGAUGCUGAGGAAGUGAUUCUAAUUCGUGAUGACUAAGUAGACACAUGAAGGAAUUUACUACUUACUUUUUUGAUUCUGUUGCUACUGUUGCCACCACCAUUGCUAGAAACUCUACUGAGGGAGGAAGAAGGGAAGGCUCCGGGCUGGUGGGUGGGGGGGAAACUGGGUAGGUUAAAAUUCAUGGAAAUAGCCUGAGAGGAACCAGGCUAUCAGCUCUCUGUUCAAAAAGGAAAGUGAUGACGAAAGGACAGAACUUUGGGGAAGGGCUCGCUUCGUGCUGGACACGGUGAUAGGUUCUUUAUCUGUAUCACUCCAUCGAAUUCUUCAAAGCCUCUAUAAGGCAGGAACGACUGUGAUCUCUUGGCUGGGAUACAUUGCUGUCACACUGUGCACAGAAGGGUGACGUCAUGCAUAGGAAGUGACAGUGCAUGGAGACUGCAUCCAGAAGGAUACACUGGAAUCAAAAAACCAUUUGUCGAGAUGGCAGCACUCACCGGAAACUGGCCCUCUCCUGAGCCCAGAGUGUAAGCCAACAGCCCCCUUUAGAAAGGAUCCUUCUGCCUCUGGGAAGUUGGGAGCAAAAUCAACCAGAGACUCAAAGGAAAAAAUAAAUAAAGAAACAACUCCAGAGAGGAUAACAGAUCUCAGACGGGCAUCUAAAACCCUCAGCGUGUGACCCCUAGGAAGCUGCAGGGGGGGCUCACCUUACAAGGAGGAAGGAAGAAGGAGCAACCAUUUAUGAGUCACAGGUGCCGAGGCACAGGAAACUCCAGCUCUCUAAUCACCUUCUUCAUUGAAAUUAUCAGUCACCUCCCACUGUGGCAGAGCUAGCACACAUCAAGAACUCAACACAAGUUAGUCUCCUUAUUAUCUGGUAAGAGGCAAAUGUCUUAUCAGUAAAUUAUACCUUCCUAUGAAUUGCUGGAUAAGACUCCUUCUUAAGACUGGGUUUUGCUAAAUGUGAAGGCGCAGAGAUGUGGGGGAGACCAGGCCCCUGGGGGUGGAAGAAGCAAAGGUUCCAGGGAAGAAGAAGGGCAGCAUGGAGCACCUAAGUGAAAACUUUCACGAGCCGCCCCACCCCACCAUUGUCUGAGGCAGCCCUGGAAUCUGGCUGGUGUCCAUACCCAGUCUGUGGGCAUCUGGACGCAGCCAAGGUAGAGCCACAGCAAACAUGCGUGUCCAUAUGGUCACUGAAUGGACAAUCUCCAGGUGAUUCUUCCAAAUGAGUGGCCCUCUUGGCAUGAGGAGGGAGAAGCAGGUGCAUUUGGCUUUUCAACCUCCCCCUGCUCUUUGUACAGCAUAGGAAGGUGUGGAUGAUGGAGCUAACGUGUGAGAAUUUUCAAGAUACUCAGCAACUUCUCACCCUUCACAAAAUCAGAUCCCUCUUGCACAUUCCACUGUUCUCUCUGCAGUCAGACUUCUUAAUCAUAGCAAACCGUCCUCAGCCCCACGUGUAGCUCAACAGCCAAGAACGUUCCCAGCAACCUUGACCUGUUUGUCAAUGGCUACAGUCUCAAGGGUUAAGAUUGCUCUCAUCUGCAUAGCUCUAGUGCCUGGCUUAGCAAAGAUGUUCAAAGGUGUUUACUGUAAACUCUUAGGUGGUUUUACUAUUUUUUUACUCUCACCAGUUACUAUUUAUUUAAUAUCAAAAUAUUCACCGCACAGUGUCAGCCCUGUACCUAACAUGAGGUCAGGUCCAACGGGAAAGUUAAAACACGUCCUCUAGGGGUUUACAAAUCCUGUACCCAAAGACAGGUAAGUAGCAAUAGCAAGGUAUGAUUAAAUACUAAAAUUAGUCAUCUAUCUAUGAUCUGUGCUUCUCAACCUUUGCUGUGCAUUAGAAUUGCCUGGGAAGCUUUGUAAAACCACAGAUGCCUGUAGCUCACCCACAGGGAUUCUGAUUAGGUCUGUCUGGUCAGGGUCUAUAUUUUUUAAAUAGUCCCCAGUGAUUCACACGAGCAUCCAGGAUAUGAAUCAUUGUAACAAGUAUUAAAGAAUAUAAUUAAGAGAAACACCAGGGAGAAGCAGAGUGGAGAGAAAAACCUUAUGGUGUAAUUGGAACUUGUUUUGAACCUUGAAUCAGAGAAGAGAUUUGGAUGAGCAGGGAUGGAGGGAAGAUAACAUUACGUCUGGGAAGAGGGCGUGCAGACAUUGUGAACAAAGGGAGCUGGAAAUCAAGUUGAUGUGUGUUUGCUACGUGGCAACCGCAAAUGAGAGGCAAGAUACAGAGGGUCCUGUCUGGAGUGAUACCACCUGGCUACAUGAUGGUGCAAGGAGAGUCUCAGAGACCCAAGGAAAAGGAAGGACACAAGGGAGGGUGUGUUUGGACCACAAGCCUGGGAAUUAGUGCCUCUUGGUCUGUGCCCGUAAAACAGCCGUGGGGAGAUUUCAAAAUGGCCUUGAAGAAAGGUUGAGGCAGACAACGAAGUGCAUGUGUUCGAAACUGAAGCCCUUCGUUAAGACUCUAACAUGAAACAGGUACCUGUGUUUGAAGCCCAAGGCUCUUGGUACUGUUAUUCCCAGGAGCUCCAUCUUAACAGUUGAGAGUUUUCCUGCCCUUCCUUAAUUUCCAUGUUGUCUUCUGCUCAGUGGCCAAGUUUUUUGCCUUUUUGCUUCCUUUCUAGGGAGUGAAGCUGGGUGGGUUUGGGGAUCAAGGUCACUGGAGUUAGAGUGGAGGCUCAAAAAGGUGAAUGCAAAAAAAAAAAAAAUCUAAAAUGGAAAAUGCUGUAAGAGGAGGGUAAAGAGCUGGAUAUGCCUGAUUUCUACCUGUUAACAUGCAAAAGAGGAUAAUGAAAAGGAGGUAAUUGUUGAUGCUCCCUCAAAUGGUCAGGUGAGACUGUUGAUGGUACACACUGAGCCCCUUGAACUCACUCCUGAUGCACACAAACGAUGGUUGGCAUUGCAUGAGGGACUUUUAACAGCCAGUGUGGGGACCGAUCAGAAAAUUAUGGAAAAAAACAAUUCACGAGAGCAAGUCAAGACAUGCUGAUACUUUGGUGAGUUCCUCCAUCUAUAACAGAUGUAUUUUGCUACCCCGCUGAGGUCAAAGAGAACCAACCAAAAAACCCCCAAUAAUAAUAAUAAUAAAUAACUUACAGAAAAUGAGAAGGUAAGAUCCCCAAAUCCCUAGGAUCAGGAGAUGUGUGCAUUUGUGUUGCGUCUGGCUAACAAUGGAGCUACUAUUAGAGUGGUAGAAAAAUAGCAGCAAGAAAUGCCUAAAGAUUUUGCCCGGAGGCACAGCAAACAAAAGGAACACGUUUCCCAGGAAAGCGAGAUGAUUCCAGUUUCACUCAUCCAACAAAACUCUUCCAAGAAUGAAGCCAGAAACCCUGACUGCAUCUUGGAGGGACUUGGAGGCUGUCCCAUCACAGUGACGCCAGCUCCUGCCCUGGGCGCCGAUGCCAGAGCUACUGUCUGCAGGCUGCGGCAGGUGGCACACCCAUGUCUGUUUGGGGCAAGUGGCAAUCUCAACUCAGAUCAUUGUCUGGGUCCUCUGGGCAGACUCAACACACCCCAAGCUCGUGGGGAGGAUGCAUUACAGAAGGGCGAGCUUGUCUCAUGCCCUCCUUCUGCAGGCACCCAAUCUCUAUAGACAGACUCACUGAUGCCCUCAAUUUCCAGCCCCAGCUCCCACGCCAGUGUGGGCCUGAGACGGGAAAUCCUGAGGAGGUUUGCAACCUCCCUCCCUCCAGCAGUGGCUCCUCCGUCUUGAGUCACUCUCCCCACGAAGGCUGAGCCAGCUGCCCCCUGGGCUCCCUAUCUUACUUGAGUUGCCCUCACUCUUAAGGAGCCCUUGUCCAUCCCAGUGGGCUUCCUCUCUCUCCCUGGGUUGGGGUUCUCCCAUCAGGUCACAGCCCCUCUGUAAUUACAGAGCGCUGAUAGGUUCCCAGGAGCAUGGAGGAGCCCCCUCUCUGGGAAUGGGGCCAGUAGAGCUAGACGGCAAGAGACAAAACACCUGCCUGCAGAGAUUAACCACCUAUAAAGACUAACUGCCCCCGGAUGGUAAUUCCUGUGGUUGCACGUCUCUGGUUGUGAGGCUCGGAUCCCAACCAUCUGAGAAUGAGAAGACUCAUUCUUCGAAUUUUUCCUGCCCCUGUAACCUUCCCUGUUACAGCUGCUCGGUCGUGGGACUCGACCCCCCACCCCUUUCCAAGUUGUGUGACCUCCCUUUCAUUGUCCUGGCCACAAGUUUCCACCACGGACCCUCGCCACAGAUUCCCACUGUGACCCUUUAUAAGGCUAACUUCUGGAGUUCCCGCUGUGACUCAGCAGAAACAAAUCCGACUAGUAUCCAUGAGGAUGCAGGUUUGAUUCUUGGCCUCGCUCAAGAGCUGUGGUGUAGUUUGAAGAUGUGGCUCAGAUCUGAUGUUGCUGUGGCUGUGGUGUAGGCCCACAGCUGUAACUCCAAUUGGACCCCUAGCCUGGGAACUUCCAUAUGCCGCAGGUAUGGCCCUAAAAAGAUUUAAAAAAAAGAAAGAAAAAAAAA
rnacentral:lncRNA from 1 species